rnacentral:tRNA from 1 species
AUGUGGGUGGCUCAGUGGUUGAGCAUCUGCCUUUGACUCAGGUCAUGAUCCCCUGGGGUGCUGGGAUCAAAUCCCACAUA